rnacentral:tRNA from 2 species
GGGCGAUUAGCUCAGUUGGCAGAGCGCCACGUUGACAUCGUGGAGGCCAUUGGUUCAAGUCCAAUAUCGCCCACCA